CACUGUUUAUCUCCUUCCGCUGGUUUCCUCUGCAAUUUUUCCCACGAUUUCUUUUCCCUUUCCGUGCAACUGCAUCCCACAUACCCACGAUUUAUUUUCGGUUCCACACAGACUUGCGGUUCAUCCUUCCGGCUCCGUGGGUUUCGUUUUUCUGAUUCUUCGAAGACGACUUUGUAAAGUUUCUUCCUUUGGGUUUCGGAUUAGUGCAGAGUUUUCGUGGUCUCGCAAACUGCCUCCAUUGAAGCUCUUCACUGAAGGAUUUUUCCUUCUAUUUUCGGUGUUAUGAGUUAACUCUCCAGACCCUCGGGGUCGGAGUGUUACACGCCGCCACGCUGACCUGCAUCUCCAUGACCAGCCACCGUUUAGCUUGGACGUGAAGCACUCUGUUUUUAUACACCGAAACAAAGUGAUUGUUUUGCCCACCGUGAGCUGCCAAGCCACCCUCACUCCUCGCCUCAGCCAUGAGCCACCCAGUUGCACCACCUCGCCGGAAUCAACAUCAGGAAGCGACGCUAGAAGCCUACCACCAGCCCUUAUCCGUCGCACUUUUCUCUCCUGUGUGCCGUUGUUGGGACAGCCACCUCCCACUGCAACCCAACUCUGCCUCGACCCCUUUCCCCAUGGUGCCACUGCCUCUUAGUUUUCCUUGGAUAUUUUGAUGGUUCAGCUGAGGAUCAAGAUUAUGAGGCAUUGGGUGAGAUGGUUUAAGUAUAGUGGUUUAAGCGUAGGAAGUUUUUGUGAAUAUUGUCGAUUUUUUUUAAGAAAUUUUAUUGUGUUAUGAUGACUUGGCAUUUUGGAAAAUUGGAUAUA